rnacentral:rRNA from 1 species
UACGAAGGGUGCAAGCGUUAAUCGGAAUUACUGGGCGUAAAGGGUGCGUAGACGGUUUGUUAAGUCGGAUGUGAAAGCCCCGGGCUCAACCUGGGAACUGCAUCCGAAACUGGCAGGCUAGAGUGCGAUAGAGGAUGGUGGAAUUCCCGGUGUAGCGGUGAAAUGCGUAGAGAUCGGGAGGAACAUCUGUGGCGAAGGCGGCCAUCUGGAUCAGCACUGACGUUGAGGCACGAAAGCGUGGGGAGCAAACAGG